AUGAACGCUGGCGGCGUGCCUAAUACCUGCAAGUCGAGCGCACAGACGAGGAGCUUGCUCCUUUGACGUUAGCGGCGGACGGGUGAGUAACACGUAGGUAACCUACCUAUAAGACUGGGAUAACUUCGGGAAACCGGAGCUAAUACCGGAUAAUAUUUCGAACCGCAUGGUUCGAUAGUGAAAGAUGGCUUUGCUAUCACUUAUAGAUGGACCUGCGCCGUAUUAGCUAGUUGGUAAGGUAACGGCUUACCAAGGCAACGAUACGUAGCCGACCUGAGAGGGUGAUCGGCCACACUGGAACUGAGACACGGUCCAGACUCCUACGGGAGGCAGCAGUAGGGAAUCUUCCGCAAUGGGCGAAAGCCUGACGGAGCAACGCCGCGUGAGUGAUGAAGGUCUUCGGAUCGUAAAACUCUGUUAUUAGGGAAGAACAAACGUGUAAGUAACUGUGCACGUCUUGACGGUACCUAAUCAGAAAGCCACGGCUAACUACGUG
rnacentral:rRNA from 1 species